rnacentral:lncRNA from 1 species
AACUGGGGGAGUUCAUUUCUUCCCACAGCUGCUAGAGCGCAGAAGCCCUUCCUGGCUCAAGUCAAUAGGUAUAUUAGCAUACAGCUGGAGAUCCCCCUUUCCAGCCCCGCUGGCAGGGGGUUACCGUGGCCUCCUCGCGGAGGUCUGUGGUGCGAACAUAUUCCCGGGAAUUGUCAUUUGAUCUAUCAGGAGCCUCCUCAGCCCCUCGGUGGAGACAAAAACUCCAAGCAGCCCUACUCAGAUCAUUCCCGUAUUUUCUUUCCUUUCCUUUCCUUUUUUUCUCUCUCUCUUUCUUUCUUUCUCUUUCUCUCUCUCUCUUUCUCCUUUUGCCGUUGGUUCACCCUCCAAUGGCCGCCGUGGCCGGCGUGCUGUGGCCGGCGCACCGCGCUGAUCCGAUGGCAGGAGCCAGGUGCUUAUCCUAGUCUCCCAUGGGGUGCAGGGACCAAGCACUCGGGCCAUCCUCCACUGCACUCCCUGGCCACAGCAGAGAGCUGGCCUGGAAGAGGGGCAACCGGGACAGAAUCCGGCGCCCCGACCAGGACUAGAACCCGGUGUGCCGGCGCCGCAAGGCGGAGGAUUAGCCUAGUGAGCCGGCGCCGGCCCAUUCCCGUAUUUUUAACCCAGCUCCGCACCCAGUUCGUCGCAAGGCCUGCAGCCCCAGCUUCCACUGGCUGGGCCCCGAGCGAUAUGAUUGGCAUGGCCAUCGCACUCUUAACGCUUACGAAGCUGCCCUCGUCUGUGAACACCGGCUGCUUCUCGGUUGCAGCCGGGAUUCUCAGGCCGGUCCCUAGGAGGAGGUGCCCGCCGCGUCGCCUCGGAGCGCACGCUGGGCACGCGGGCGCCGUUGUGCGGUCCGCGCCUCCCAGCCAGCGGGGCGGCGGGAAGAAGGGGCUUCGCGCCCGCCGUCGCGCUUUGUCCCCGCGCGGCCCCCGUCCACUUCCCCACGGGUGCUCCGCCGGCCGCGAAAGUUUCUCCAGGUGCGGGAUUCCGGGCUGGGCUACGUGUCGUGCCUGCCGGAGGCCAGUCCGCCCGCCGGCCUGGGUGCCUAUGCAGCCCAAGCCAUUAGAACUAGACAACAUGGGGAGUGUCUUCACAUUCGUUGCAGAGUAA